AGAGUUUGAUCAUGGCUCAGGAUGAACGCUAGCGACAGGCUUAACACAUGCAAGUCGAGGGGCAGCGAGGGAGUGGCAACACUUCUGUCGGCGACCGGCGCACGGGUGAGUAACGCGUAUGCAACCUGCCCUUCACAGGGGGAUAACCGGGAGAAAUUCCGACUAAUACCGCAUACGUCCUCCGGGGGCAUCCCCGGGGGAUGAAAGAUUAUCGGUGAAGGAUGGGCAUGCGUGAUAUUAGGUAGUUGGCGGGGCAACGGCCCACCAAGCCCACGAUAUCUAGGGGUUCUGAGAGGAAGGUCCCCACAUUGGUACUGAGACACGGAUCAAACUCCUACGGGGAGCA
rnacentral:rRNA from 1 species